GCUUCAGGCAGCUAUCCCCAAGCCUUCGGAGCACAGCAGGAGUUCCCGCUGCACUCCGAAGGCUUGGGGAUAGCCGCCUGAAGC